rnacentral:rRNA from 1 species
ACGGCUCAGUAACACGUGGUUAACCUACCCUUGGGUCGGAAACACCCCCGGGAAACUGGGGCUAAUUUCCGAUAGGUGAAGGCUCCUGGAAUGGAUCUUCGCCUAAAGGGCGCUUAGGCCAUGCUUCUAGGCGCUGCCCAAGGAUGGGGCCGCGGCCGAUCAGGUUGUUGGUGAGGUAAUGGCUCACCAAGCCUUUAACCGGUUCGGGCCGUGGGAGCGGGAGCCCGGAGAUGGGCACUGAGACAAGGUCCCAGGUCCUACGGGGCGCAGCAGUUGCGAAAACUCCGCAAUGCACGAAAGUGUGACGGGGCUACCCCGAGUGCUGUCCGCUGAGGAUGGCUUUUCCCUGGUUUAAGGAGCCGGGGGAAUAAGGAGAGGGCAAGUCUGGUGUCAGCCGCCGCGGUAAUACCAGCUCUCCGAGUGGUGGGGAUGCUUAUUGGGCUUAAAGCGUCCGUAGCUGGCUUUUCAAGUCUCUCGUUAAAUCCAACGAUUCAAUCGUUGGACUGCGGGAGAUACUGUUGGGCUGGGGGGCGGGAGAAGCCGACGGUAUUUCCGGUGUAGGGGUAAAAUCCUAUAAUCCCGGGAGGACCACCAGUGGCGUAGGCGGUCGGCUAGCACGCGCUCGACGGUGAGGGACGAAAGCUGGGGGAGCAAACCGGAUUAGAUACCCGGAUAGUCCCAGCUGUAAACGAUGCGGGCUAGGUGUUGGAGCGGCCACGAGCCGCUUCAGUGCCGCAGGACAACCAUUAAGCCCGCCGCCUGGGGAGUACGGCCGCAAGGCUGAAACUUAAAGGAAUUGGCGGGGGAGCAC